UACCCACUCCGAUCCAUAUUGCUUGUCGUAGUUUUGUCUACAUAUGAAUGUAUUUAGACAUUUUCUAGUGUUAGAUACAAUCAUAUCUAGAAAAAUCUAAGACAAGUAAUAUGGAUCUCAAGGAGUGUACA
rnacentral:pre_miRNA from 2 species